UUUUUAGUAGAGACGGGGUUUCACCAUGUUACCUAGGGUGGUCUUGGCUAGUGUCGAUCUCCUGACCUCAUGAUCUGCCCACCUCGGCCUCCCAAAGUGCUGGGAUUAUAGGCGUGAGACACCGCGCCUGGCCCCUUCUCCUUCUGAAGAAAAGAACAACUGUAUCUUAUAUUUGCCACACAGUAUUUGUUUCUUCAGCUCCACAAAGGUCUGACAAAUGGUGGGACCUCACCUGUUCUGAUGGGGGCUCCCAUUUCUGCCCCUUCUGGAGGACUAGGAGCACUGUAUUGCCUGCCAGAGCUUGGAAGGGAGGACUCUUCUUCUGUCUCUACAGUUGUGCCAUCUUCCUCCAGCACCAGGAAGAAGGGCUUGUCUGCCAGCAUCAGAGUGCCCUGGUCCUGGGGAAUAAGGGUCUUGACUGUUGCCCAAGCUGGAAUGCAGUGGCACAGUCACUGCUCACUGUAGCCUUGACUCUGGAGCUCCACUGAUGCCCCCACCUCUCUGUGCAGCUGUGUGACCUCAGAUCCUGAAGAUCUUCGUAGACAAUCUCUUUGCUAUCGUCCUGCUGAAGCAGGCCACAGCUGUGCGCUGCUUGGACAUGAAUGCCUCCCGUAAGAAGCUGGCCGUGGUAGAUGAAAAUGACACUUGCCUGGUGUAUGACAUCGACACCAAGGAGCUGCUUUUUCAGGAACCAAACGCCAACAGUGUGGCUUGGAACACCCAGUGUGAGGACAUGCUCUGCUUCUCGGGAGGAGGCUACCUCAACAUCAAAGCCAGCACCUUCCCUGUGCACCGGCAGAAGCUGCAGGGCUUUGUGGUCGGCUACAAUGGCUCCAAGAUCUUCUGCCUCCACGUCUUCAUUUCUGCCGUGGAGGUGCCACAGGUAACUGGGAGCACCUGUCCACUCUCAGCACUGGCAAGGCCAAUAAGACCAGGGAAGCCGGGCCCCUGGCUGGUGCUUUGAGGAGAGAGUAGCAAGGAGAGAAGAAUGGCAGCUGUGAUGUCGUGGGAGGCAGUCUGGGCUUGGAACCUGCAGCCCUAUCUCCACUCCUUGCAACCUGUGUGACUGGGGGCAAGGAGCUCAACCUCCCUGUGCCUCAAUUUCUUCCUGGUCCCCCUUCUGGUAGGGAUUCAGAGGGGUAUACAGUGUUGUCAGCAGAGUGUAUUUUACAGAGAGCCCAAUGUGGGCCAAGUGGAGCGAGCAGCAAAGCCGGGAGUCCAGCAGGGUGUGUGUGUGUGAGCACAUGUGUGAUGGUGGUGAUGUGUGUGUGAGAGAGGGGGAAGAGAGAGAGAAUGAG
rnacentral:antisense_RNA from 1 species